rnacentral:rRNA from 1 species
CCUACGGGGGGCAGCAGUGGGGAAUCUUCCGCAAUGGGCGAAAGCCUGACGGAGCAACGCCGCGUGAGUGAAGACGGCCUUCGGGUUGUAAAGCUCUGUUAUAGGGGACGAACGGCCGGGCAGCGAACAGGUGCCCGGCAUGACGGUACCGUAAGAGAAAGCCACGGCUAACUACGUGCCAGCAGCCGCGGUAAUACGUAGGUGGCAAGCGUUGUCCGGAAUGAUUGGGCGUAAAGGGCGCGCAGGCGGCUGUGUAAGUCUGUCUAAAAAGUGCGGGGCUAAACCCCGUGAGAGGAUGGAAACUGGACAGCUGAGAGUGUCGGAGAGGAAAGCGGAAUUCCUAGUGUAGCGGUGAAAUGCGUAGAUAUUAGGAGGAACACCGGUGGCGAAAGCGGCUUUCUGGACGACAACUGACGCUGAGGCGCGAAAGCCAGGGGAGCAAACGGGAUUAGAUACCCCUGUAGUC